CUUGAGCGAGAUUUAAAAUAGAGGAUAAGCAUGUAGACGCCUUUGAUUGAAACCUUUCGGACGGGGGUUCGAUUCCCCCCGCCUCCACCA
rnacentral:tmRNA from 1 species